AGAGUUUGAUCCUGGCUCAGGACGAACGCUGGCGGCGCGCUUAACACAUGCAAGUCGAGCGAUAACCAUGGCUUCGGCCAUGGGGAGAGCGGCGAACGGGUGAGUAACACGUGGGUAAUCUGCCCUCGACACUGGGAUAGCCCGGGGAAACCCGGAUUAAUACCGGAUAGCCUCUCGAGCUUUCGGGCUCGUGAGAAAAGAUGGCUUCGGCUUUCGGUUGAGGAGGAGCCUGCGGCGGAUUAGCUUGUUGGUGAGGUAACGGCCCACCAAGGCGACGAUCCGUAGCUGGUCUGAGAGGACGAUCAGCCACACUGGGACUGAGACACGGCCCAGACUCCUACGGGAGGCAGCAGUGGGGAAUCUUGCGCAAUGGGCGAAAGCCUGACGCAGCAACGCCGCGUGAGGGAAGAAGGCCUUCGGGUUGUAAACCUCUUUCAGGAGGGACGAAGCUACUCGGGUUAAUACCCCAGAGGGUGACGGUACCUCCAGAAGAAGCCCCGGCUAACUACGUGCCAGCCGCCGCGGUAAUAC
rnacentral:rRNA from 1 species